CCAGCGACCCAUUAGGACAUCCACCUUCGACCACACCUAUGACAACCUACGUCCACCUGCGACAACCUACGACAAGGCAACAACUUAAGGCAAUUCAGUCACCAGUACCUGUCGCCGGUUGACGUAGGUAUUCACCAAUGGAAUUCACCGAAGUCAGCACCAACGACAGCCUACGUCACCUGGUCACAACCUAUGGCAGCACCUAUCAAACAGAAAG